AGAAAACGACAACUACGCUUUAGCCGCUUAAUUGGCUAACCAAUGCAAGAAUUGUCUAUGGUUCGAAGCAUUGGCAAAAUUCAUAGUCUAGUUUUGCUGUGGUGUCUAAACGCAGUAACGCAAAAAUUUACUUAGUCUAGCUUUUGAUACCCUGCUCUUCGGGUCAUUAAGGCGAAACACAAAGAAUGAGCUAAGCAUGUAGAAGUCAGGUUGAAGAACUAACGGACGCGGGUUCAAUUCCCGCCGCCUCCACCA
rnacentral:tmRNA from 1 species